UACAAAUGUAAUUCACUCUCUCGUCCCUUAUACAAAAAUGACCACGGUACUCAGAGCUCAGUGGAGCGUGCCUGUUAAUGGUAUCGAGAGCGGAGUGGACUAUUUUCCAGGCAACGGUCUUGUUUUUUUUUUUUUUUAAUAUUACCGUUAAAAAAGCCGGAUUUCAUCUCCAUUUAAGGGCAGUUCACCUGCGAAGAGGGGCAGAUUGUUCUCUAUGGUGUUGCUAUUUUUUUUGGUUUUGUUUGCCUUUCAGAUUGUUCCCUAUUCUAUUUUUGUUUUUUUUGUUUCUGGCAUGGCCAUGCCCUUUCUUCCUUCUUCCUUCUUCCUUCUGCGUUUUGCGUUUUUCCUUUUUCCUUUUUCAUUUUUCAUUCAUGGUAUUUUGUAAAUGUUUUGGGUGUGGAUGGUAAUUUUUCAAUUGUCAAGGAGUUGCUCUGGCCUUCACAAUUCGUUUCUAAGUUAUUCAUUUUGCUGGCUUAGGGUUCACUACAAUCUCUGGAGUUGCCUAUGGAGCUGACUCAGGAAUAGCUGUGGGUUCAGGGUUGGUUGCUUAAUCAUUCAUGCACUGCCUAUCUUUUUCUUGCUUGGAGGAGCUCAAGAAGAGAUGUAAAGAGGCCAACCCUAAAGCCAAGGGUAUUGCCCAGGUGGCUGGUGCAGCAGCUCGCCUCAAGUGGAAGUGGAAUUUGAUUGUGAUUCGCGUUACAAUCACCUGCAGUGGUUUUAUUUGUCUUAAGACACGAAUCUCAAUGAUUCUUGAGUGGUUCAUUUUUAUUUAAUCAAUGUCGGUAUUUCUGAAUGAUGGUCUUGUUUAGUAUUUUAGGCAUCAUAGAUGAUGCAUUCCAUCUAAAGGUGCACUCUUCUGUCACAUUUAUUAGUCUAUUUUUAAAAGAUGUCGAUUCAAUCGUUUUGAAUAUUGAAUUUGUGGAUGUGCCUCUAGCAACUGCUGAUAUGCAUAAUUGCUAGCAGGAUAGGAAAAUCUGGACUAAUUUUGGUUUGUUGUUUUAGGAUUACUUGUAUAUCUUAUUUAUUCCCUUUUAGGUUCUGUGUUAUAUACAAGUAAUGGAGGUUUUGAUUUGUGCUAUAUGCAGGUGCAGAAGCCCCAAAACCACAAGAGCCCAAGCAUGCAGAGGCUAAGAAACCAGCUGAAUAUAGGAAGAGGUCAAAGAGUAAGACAUCCAGCGAGAAGAAGAAAAAGCCCAAGGAGAAGAAGGUUAAGGAUCCAAAUUUGUCAAAAAGACAGACUGCUUUCUUCUUAUUCAUGCAUGUCAGUAAAUAUGCUUACCUGGAUUUGUCCUAAAAAUGUUGGGUAGUCUAAUUCAUCUAUGAUGCCUGCUAUUUUGGUUGCCAAAGAUGGUGUUGAUAAGUGGAAGUCUUUGUCAGAUGAGAUUGGUUUUAAGAGACGAAGCAAUGUAUUGAGAAAGUUGUUGAAGGAAAAGGGAGUUUUAACUGAAGGUUGCUCUGAUGUUCACAGGCACAAUUGUAGAAGCCACAACUGGGUUGUCCAUUUUGCUGGCUUUUAUUUAUUAUCCUCCCCAACAGUGUUCAGGAGGAGCGGUGGGCUGGGGUUUUUUAGUGAGUGCUACUUCUUUCUAGUAGAAUGGAUUAAUAUUAAAAUGAAAUGACUUUUUUAUUACUUAAUAAAGAAAUCAUGUGGAACUUUGUGACUUUGAAUAUCAUAUUGUAAAGGAAAAUAUAUUUUGCAUUUCCAAACCAAUCAUGCACUCUGUAGAUUCAGUCUUGUUUAUAAUGUUUUUCAGUUCAUUGUUUUAUCAAA